GUGUGUGUGUCUGUGUUUGACGGCGAGAGAAUUAAAACCAACAGGUAUUCACAGGUCUCAGCUUUCCUCCCCUUCCCUCUUUUGUUGUAGAUUCCCUCACUGAAAGGGGAACUUAACUUUUCACUUUUGUUCAACACGGACACCAAGGCCACCCUACAAGAAAAACAAAUCGACUUUAUUCGGACUGGACGGAGUGACGUUCUUUGCAGGUGUAAGAACUGAAGAGAUCUCAUCGCUCCUCCCUGACCUCCACUUUCCAGACCACGAUGACAACCGCUCACCCCAAACCCCGACCGAGAGGCAUCGACUACAGCCUGCCCACCUGCGGAGAGAUCCGCUGCCACGGGCACGGCUUUUGCGUGCUCCCACCGGGUGGCGGCUCUGGCUUUGCGUGCGAGUGUGACCUGGGCUACCAGGGCGAAUCCUGUGAGAAAACCUUCAACGGGUCACUAAGCCUGCCGCUGACCUUGGGUGUGUUAGCCAUCCUCGUCGGUUUGGUGAUCCUGGCUUUCAUCUUUGCGAAGUUGCGUCAGAAGCAAAAACAGAGGAAGAGGGAUUUGCAGCAAAGCCUGGCGAAAAAAGUUCUGUGUGAAGCAGGUCCAUCACACUAACGCCAGAGGCCAGUACAAGUGAAUCUGCUUCGAAAAUCCAUCUUAUGCAACCUUACAGCUCACCUUAUUCAAGUGUUUACAAAGAUGGACCAGCAUGGACCUUUUCUUCUUUUACGGCUGACCCCUCAAUCCAAAUGCUUAGUGCGAGUGAGUUGUCUGUCCAACGAUUUUUGACAUUUGUGAUGAAACGACACUGCCAGAUCACUUUUUUUCUUCCAGAGCUUGCUGAAAGUGAAACAUUCUGUAUCUAUUUUAUCUUUUCAAUUUAAAUUUAGAACUGUAUGCGCUCAAAAGUAGGGCAGACGAUAUUGAUUAUCAAUCUAUUGACGGCAAUUGAGAUGUCUCUGGUUAAGUGGGGUAGCAAUUUUUUAAAUGCAAAAGACGAAACAUAACGAGGAAAAAACGGCGAGUGAGUCCUUAUUGCUCUUAUAAUUUGUGCUGUACUUGAGAUGGCCAACACAGUACACAACACGCAACCAUAUCUCCAUGUCAAUCGCUAAGGUUGUGGAUCAUCCACCCCCGGAUACUGGUGCCAAAAUUGUAUUUUAAAACAGUACCGGCACCUGGAUUGAUACCUUUUAAAAAAAAAUAAUUAAAAAAAAAAGACUGAAAGUCACGCUUUUGUUGCCAAGACAAAUUACCAGUUAGGGAUAUUGUCAAAAUGUUUACAGUUGCACUUAAUGUGCACUAAGUAUUAUCUAACAAAAUGAAUCACAAUAAAUAAGAUUACACUGCUAACAGCAAAAUAAUGGCUAGUUAUUGACUGAGCUUACAUCUUGAGGGUUGCGUGACUUCCUGCAGGCCGACUCAUAUGCCGGCCUGCCCCGCUAUGAGCACCACUUCUCCAAACUUUGGCUCUCUUUUUUGUUCCAGGUGAAUCAGAGGGCAAAGUAUCAGAUGUAAAAGAACCGGUGCCAGGUGCCCAACCCUAACAAUCACAGCUCUCCUCUCCCAAAAACGGAUGUCUGUCAUAGUACCUGACCUGACCUGUGAGAGGCAGCAUGGUGCCACAGGGCAUCCGGACUGACUGUAACUACAUAGAAAAAUAAAUUAGGCUGUUAGCUUAUUUGGGAACAGGAUUGCAGUCGCAAACUCUUCUUGUCGUUUUCACUGUGGGAGACACAUUAUAAUAAUAGUAUUAUAAUAAUCAACACUAUUUGUUGCUCGUAAUUGUGUCUGGCAACAGUACGAGCAUCGUAGUUGGCUAUCGUUCUGUUUCGAAUCGCAAUCACGGAGUCCGUGGCUAGGCCGAACAAUGUGUUUACCACAUGCAGAAGGAUUUGCGAUCAUAACUAUUGAACAGCUUCGACAUUUAUGAUUGUCGGCACCUACUGUUUUCCGAUUAGAUCGAGGAGGAAACAUUUCUCUCAACAUACCACAGGAUAAUCUUUCAGACAAAUACAAUAACCGAGCCUUUGCUGACUUUGAUCGGAAUAGAGAAAAAAAUGCUCAAAUUAAGCCGGAUUCCUCUGUAUGUUUGUACCCUGCUUUAUGAAUGCAGUUUGAGUGGCAAACAGUGUAUGUGUUUUGUCAAAGUGUGGUGUAAUGUUGCCUUUUGUCACUUUGUCAACCAACGAGUUGUGCAACCCGAACACUCACCGAAGGAAGUGUUUUCGUUCUCACCCACUAAUUUCCUUUUCUACCUUCCACAGGUGGAAAGAUGUUGUUUCCUUACGGUUUCAACCCUUUGUUGAGCAAAAACAAUAUUUAUUAUGAACUAUGAACACUGUGAUAGUCUGGUAAAGUUUUGGUAGAAUACCACUCCAUUUUAUUUCAUAUAUGCACUUUUUUUUUUUCUUGUAAGACACAGUGUGAAGUCAUGAAGGACCGUUCAUUUUGCCGGUUUCUCAUUAUUUACUCAAGUAAUCCGAUUACCUGCUAGCCUCUAGACAUUAUAAAGAAAAAAUAUGUAAUUAAUAGUCUCUUCUGCCAAACUGUUGCUUCUAGCAAAGAAACCGUAAUUGUGUGCCAGGCAAACUGUCGCUUCAUGCAAAGUGUGCUUGUUUGCAGUUUGAAUGUGCAGUGUGAAGUCACAUGGUGUGUCAGCUGUAACGUUUUUUUUUUUUUUUUUUUUUUAAAUAAACCUUAUGUUCAUGUUGAGUGAAAUGAUGUAAAAUAUUUCAAAUAAUGCACCAGAGUUAAUUCCCCUCUUGGAAAAAAAAAAACAAUCCUCCCAUUAACUAUAAAUGAGGAGUUACGUUAGAUUUUUUUUCAGUAAUUUUGCACUUUCAAUGUAUGUUUAGGUAUCAAGCAACAAACCUUUGACCCAAUACAGAUGGCGUGUGUAUUUCUAUGUGCUGUGUUUUCUCUGACUGAUUUGCUGUGAUUAGUUUUUUUUAAUAUACAAACUUUUAUUGUGAUAUUUAUGUCCGAUGCAAACAAAACUAAAAAGAGAAGAAAUUGUAUUAAAGAAAGGCAAAGCAGAUAUUUUACAUUUUAAAAUAAAUAAAUACAAAUCAAUCUCAUGUCACACAGGUUAAUUAUGUUCUUCUGCUAUCUAGUGGCAGAACAUUUGAAUUGAAUGUGGUAGAUAAAGAUGGAUUAUUUGUCGUAAAAAAAAUUUAACAUUGAAUUCAAAUUGAAUCAUUUCCCACAGCAGACUUAAUGUUCUCUCACGGCACACUAAUGACGCUUUGCAAUCACAGCUCUAAUAGACGCUGUGCCACAAUUAGUUGCCGGGUGUGUCAUUUACUUUAGACGCCUCCUAGCCAGUAAAAAAGAAAAUAGCCUGUAACUGUAAUUAUCUUGAUCCGUAAAUGCAAAUUUUCACACGGCCAUUACUGAGUUAACUGCUCAGCCUGUUUGAACAUGCACAGGCCUCUGCCAGCCUUAUUGUCAACAAGAGGCAAAAUAUUUCUGGAUUUGCACCGUUUAUCUGAAUCCACACCAGGAUUGAAUUAUUAUUUUUUUUAACUUUAAACUAGUUCACGUAGAGAAAAAAAAGAACUUUCCCAACACUGGCUAUCUGUAACUGGAAAUUAUGACUAGUCAGAAUCAAACUAUGUGAAUACCCUUAACGCAGAUCUUGUUUUACUUCCUCAAAUUCCUUCAUGAUAGCACAAUUGUGACAUCAUAGUGAAACUUGGCUUUUGAAUGCUAAGAAGGUUUGCUAUAUGAACACACUUAACCCAGAUCUUGUUUUACUUCCUCAAUUGUGACAUCAAUGUGACAACAUUCAGGACUGCAAUUAGCCUUUGGGUGAAUACAAAUACAGUUUUAUACUUGUAAUGGUUUCAUGUCACCUCUGGAAAUAAGGACUUACGUGAGUCGUGGAAAAGAUGAUUCACCUAAGAGUUGAUGUGCACUUGUCAUGGAUGUUUCACUUCGUUGUGCACGUGUCUGUGCACUUUCAAUUGUGCCUUGCUGAUUUAGAUUAUUCAUUUAGUUUCUUCUGAAUAAACAGCUCUAAAAAUGUA